ACGUUAUCAAGAAAGGCCGAGGGACUAGACCCUUUGACGCCUUAGCAACCUCCCGAACUUCGGGGAAGGUGCUACAUUCUAUCCCGAAGUAAAUUCGAGAAUAGAUAACAA
rnacentral:ncRNA from 2 species